UGUCACCAGCUACCACCCUUUUCUUUCCCUCUAAGCUCCGAUCCUCUGGUGCAAGAAGAAGCAGAAACCGCUGCCAUUCCAAGCUCCAACAGCCUUUCAUCUUCAGCCACUCACACCCCAAUCUUCAAGCUUCCAUUUCCAGCUUCCACCUCCACUCCUUGCUGCUGUCUCGAUCGAGCAAGGAAAAGGAGGAUCGCAGCUCCUCCGGCCGCUGCUGCUGCUGGCGUUGCGUCGGACCAGGGGAGAAGGAGAAACCAGCUGCCAUUUUUCUUUCCUCCAACCACAGAAUCUUCCAAGCUGACCCUCCGUGGUUCUAGGAGAAACUUGAGGAACUAGGCACUACAUUUAGCUAGUAAACAACCACCUGAAGGAGUUGGUGAAGAGCACAAUCUCGAUCAAAGUUUGAAAUUCUAGACUCUUCACUUGCGGUUCUGAAAUGCAUGAAGUCUUGGAGAACUAGAAAAUAAAUGUUAUAUUUUGAUUGCCCACUUUUGUAAUUGUACUUUGGGAGAUACUUUAAUAUCUUUUGGAUAAUUUUUCUUGUGCCUUUGGGAAAAUGUGAAUCCCGUGGUGCUUCUGUGCCCUGGAUUAGGAACUUUAAAUUGUAAAUUAAGUAUUUUAAGCUCGACGUUUUCGUUGGUACUUG